AUACGAACACAACAGUGAAAUGAAAGAGCAGCUCAUCAAGAGCACUUUGGGUUCCUGGAGAAACUUCCCACAGUGCAAAAGAGUUUCUAAGCUGUCCUGAAGAAAAAGACAAACUUGGGAGGAGCAGAAGAUCCCUUGCUUGCUGUUGGUCUUCAUUGUCAGAGCCAGUUUCUGGAAGAUCUGAAAUCUCUUCUGACAGACCCACUGGGAUCUCUGGUGGCUUGGCUGCUGAGUAGGAGAGACCAUUGAAGCCAAGGAGUGGGAAAUGUGCUGGAGAGGAUGUGCUCCCUUGGGCAAAGCAAAGCAGUGUGCAGCUACUUUUCUGUUUCCUCCUUGUUGGACCCUCUCUGCUGUGCAGGGCAAGACUAGGACGAGAGUUCUGUCUCCCUCUUUUAUGGCAUGGAUGGACCUCAUUGGGAUGUUCUUUUUCUCCUGCUGAAAACUUCUGCCAGCACCAGGGCAUAGACAGUCGUCUGCAUGACUGUCAGUGCUGUGAUGGAUUGGAGCAGGCUGGGAAGGCAGCAAGAGGGUGGGGAACAAGGAUGGCAAGAAUGUUCUCCAACACCGUUACCACCCGGAGCUUCUAGUUACUCUUCUGUCCCAAAAGGUAAUGCCAUUAUCCAAGAAAAG
ensembl:lncRNA